rnacentral:piRNA from 1 species
UGAGUUUAUAUGUCUGAACUGUAAGUGUC